rnacentral:rRNA from 1 species
CGUAGGGGGCAAGCGUUGUCCGGAUUUAUUGGGCGUAAAGAGCUCGUAGGUGGUUCGAUAAGUCGGGUGUGAAACCUCCAGGCUCAACCUGGAGACGCCACCCGAUACUGUCGUGACUAGAGUCCAGUAGGGGAGCGUGGAAUUCCUGGUGUAGCGGUGAAAUGCGCAGAUAUCAGGAGGAACACCAGCGGCGAAGGCGGCGCUCUGGGCUGGCACUGACACUGAGGAGCGAAAGCGUGGGGAGCGAACAGGAUUAGAUACCCUGGUAGUCCACGCCGUAAACGUUGGGUACUAGGUGUGGGGUCUUAUCAACGGAUUCCGUGCCGAAGCUAACGCAUUAAGUACCCCGCCUGGGGAGUACGGCCGCAAGGCUA